GACGAACGCUGGCGGCGUGCUUAACACAUGCAAGUCGAACGGAAAGGCCCUGCUUUUGUGGGGUGCUCGAGUGGCGAACGGGUGAGUAACGCGUGAGUAACCUGCCCUUGACUUUGGGAUAACUUCAGGAAACUGGGGCUAAUACCGGAUAGGAGCUCCUGCUGCAUGGUGGGGGUUGGAAAGGUUCGGCGGUUGGGGAUGGACUCGCGGCUUAUCAGCUUGUUGGUGGGGUAGUGGCUUACCAAGGCUUUGACGGGUAGCCGGCCUGAGAGGGUGACCGGCCACAUUGGGACUGAGAUGCGGCCCAGACUCCUACGGGAGGCAGCAGUGGGGAAUAUUGCACAAUGGGCGGAAGCCUGGUGCAGCAACGCCGCGUGCGGGAUGACGGCCUUCGGGUUGUAAACCGCUUUCGCCUGUGACGAAGCGUGAGUGACGGUAAUGGGUAAAGAAGCACCGGCUAACUACGUG
rnacentral:rRNA from 1 species